GCCCCUAUAGCUCAGUGGUAGAGCGUUCCACUCGUAUCAUGUAAUCAUCUUGUAUGAUCUACUGUCCAUCGAAAUGGAGAGGUCCAUCGUUCAAUCCGGUGUGGGGGCA